rnacentral:lncRNA from 1 species
GCUGCGCUGGUUGCUCUAAGCCUGAGGAAUCAGUGCAGUGUAAGCAUUUCUUAAAUAUGUCCCAGAAUUCACGCUCACCCUCUCCCCUGUCCCAUUCUCCAGAAGUCCAUCCACGGGCUGGGUAGGACAUUCACUUCUCCCCACAAGAACUCUUCAGGAAAGUGGCUGUGCUUCCUUAACCUGAGGUUCAGUGUGAUCCAAGGAGACAAAAAGAGGAGUCAUAGAAACUGUUGCUAAGCAAGGGGAACUGAAGAAUGCUCCGUAAUUUUUUUUUUAAUCAUUUCAAUUGCUUCUAGUGCCCCACCCUGUUUCAGCCAUGGCUGAAGCACAUACUCUAGGGAAAGGACAAUGGCUGCCACACAGUGAAGAAGGGACUUCAAGGGUCCCGGAGCCUGGUGCUGGCACCAGGGUGCAAGUUUCGAACAGACCAAGUCCACCGGGUCAUGAGACUCCGCAGAAAAGUCAGGCAGGAGCCGAAACUGGCUCAGCUGCGGACUUGCAGUGCCACCUGCUGGCAGACCUGCUCAGUGCAGGGAGCAGGUCUAAACCGUCAGCAGGGCUGAGUGGCCCGAAGGCAUAGAAGGAACUGAAGACUGAGAAGGAUCUAACUGCAGGUGAAAGAGGGCGAAAAUAGUGUAUUGCUGUCUGGCUUUAGAGCAUGAAUGUUAAUGAGUAAAUGUAUGUCUGAGCUA